AACGAACGCUGGCGGCAUGCCUAACACAUGCAAGUCGAACGAGACCUUCGGGUCUAGUGGCGCACGGGUGCGUAACGCGUGGGAACCUGCCCUUAGGUUCGGAAUAACUCCCCGAAAGGGGUGCUAAUACCGGAUAAUGUCUUCGGACCAAAGAUUUAUCGCCUUUGGAUGGGCCCGCGUUGGAUUAGCUAGUUGGUAGGGUAAAAGCCUACCAAGGCGACGAUCCAUAGCUGGUCUGAGAGGAUGAUCAGACACACUGGGACUGAGACACGGCCCAGACUCCUACGGGAGGCAGCAGUGGGGAAUAUUGGAAAAUGGGCGAAAGCCUGAUCCAGCAAUGCCGCGUGAGUGAUGAAGGCCUUAGGGUUGUAAAGCUCUUUUACCCGGGAUGAUAAUGACAGUACCGGGAGAAUAAGCUCCGGCUAACUCCGUG
rnacentral:rRNA from 1 species